rnacentral:rRNA from 1 species
AGAACUCUGGAGAAGGAACUCGGCAAAUUGACACCGUAACUUCGGAAGAAGGUGUGCCCCUAGUAGGUGAAGUCGUACAGACGAAGCCCAAUGGGGUCGCAGAGAAUAGGUGGCUGCGACUGUUUAUUAAAAACACAGCACUCUGCAAAGACGAAAGUCGACGUAUAGGGUGUGACGCCUGCCCGGUGCUGGAAGAUUAAAUGAUGGGGUGCAAGCUCUUGAUUGAAGUCCCAGUAAACGGCGGCCGUAACUAUAACGGUCCUAAGGUAGCGAAAUUCCUUGUCGGGUAAGUUCCGACCUGCACGAAUGGCGUAACGAUGGCCACGCUGUCUCCUCCAGAGACUCAGCGAAGUUGAAAUGUUUGUGAUGAUGCAAUCUCCCCGCGGAAAGACGGAAAGACCCCAUGAACCUUUACUGUAGCUUUACAUUGGACUUUGAACAGAUCUGUGUAGGAUAGGUGGGAGGCUUUGAAGCCUGGUCGCUAGAUCAGGUGGAGCCAACGUUGAAAUACCACCCUGGUGUGUUUGAGGUUCUAACCUUGGCCCGUGAUCCGGGUUGGGGACAGUGUAUGGUGGGCAGUUUGACUGGGGCGGUCUCCUCCCAAAGCGUAACGGAGGAGUUCGAAGGUACGCUAGGCACGGUCGGAAAUCGUGCUGAUAGUGCAUUGGCAUAAGCGUGCUUGACUGCGAGACUGACAAGUCGAGCAGGUACGAAAGUAGGACAAAGUGAUCCGGUGGUUCUGUAUGGAAGGGCCAUCGCUCAACGGAUAAAAGGUACUCUGGGGAUAACAGGCUGAUACCGCCCAAGAGUUCAUAUCGACGGCGGUGUUUGGCACCUCGAUGUCGGCUCAUCUCAUCCUGGGGCUGUAGCCGGUCCCAAGGGUAUGGCUGUUCGCCAUUUAAAGAGGUACGUGAGCUGGGUUUAAAACGUCGUGAGACAGUUUGGUCCCUAUCUUCCGUGGGCGCUGCAAGAUUGAGAGAGCCUGCUCCUAGUACGAGAGGACCGGAGUGGACGCACCUCUGGUGUAUCGGUUGUCACGCCAGUGGCAUCGCCGAGUAGCUAAGUGCGGAAGAGAUAACCGCUGAAAGCAUCUAAGCGGGAAACUCGUCUCAAGAUGAGUCUUGCCGGGGCCUCGAGCCCCCUGAAGAGUCGUUCGAGACCAGGACGUUGAUAGGUCGGGUGUGGAAGCGCAGUAAUGCGUUAAGCUAACCGAUACUAAUUGCUCGUGAGGCUUGACCCU